rnacentral:rRNA from 1 species
AGAACGAACGCUGGCGGCAGGCCUAACACAUGCAAGUCGAACGCUCGUAGCAAUACGAGAGUGGCAGACGGGUGCGGAACGCGUGGGAACAUACCCUUUGGUUCGGAAUAGCUCAGGGAAACUUGAAUUAAUACCGGAUACGCCCCCGGAUUUGAUCCGGGGGGAAAGAUUUAUCGCCGAAGGAUUGGCCCGCGUUCGAUUAGCUAGUUGGCGAGGUAACGGCUCACCAAGGCGACGAUCGAUAGCUGGUCUGAGAGGAUGAUCAGCCACAUUGGGACUGAGACACGGCCCAAACUCCUACGGGAGGCAGCAGUGGGGAAUAUUGGACAAUGGGCGCAAGCCUGAUCCAGCCAUGCCGCGUGAGUGAUGACGGCCUUAGGGUUGUAAAGCUCUUUCGCUAGGGACGAUAAUGACGGUACCUAGACAAGAAGCCCCGGCUAACUUCGUGCCAGCAGCCGCGGUAAUACGAAGGGGGCUAGCGUUGUUCGGAAUUACUGGGCGUAAAGCGCGUGUAGGCGGGCUUUUAAGUCAGGGGUGAAAUGCCAAGGCUCAACCUUGGAGCUGCCUUUGAUACUGGAAGUCUUGAGUCCGGGAGAGGUGAGUGGAACUGCGAGUGUAGAGGUGAAAUUCGUAGAUAUUCGCAAGAACACCAGUGGCGAAGGCGGCUCACUGGCCCGGAACUGACGCUGAGACGCGAAAGCGUGGGGAGCAAACAGGAUUAGAUACCCUGGUAGUCCACGCUGUAAACGAUGGAUGCUAGCCGUUGGGGAGCUUGCUCUUCAGUGGCGCAGCUAACGCUUUAAGCAUCCCGCCUGGGGAGUACGGUCGCAAGAUUAAA